CCCAAAACCAGACGCUUACCGCGUGGCACUCAGGACCCCACAAGACCCCAUCAGUGCGAAUGCACAUACAACGAUAAAGGUCUAUUUACCACUACUCCAAUAAGUGACUCAGGGUAGCCCCAAAACCAGACGCUUACCGCGUGGCACUCAGGACCCCACAAGACCCCAUCAGUGCGAAUGCACAUACAACGAUAAAGGUCUAUUUACCACUACUCCAAUAAGUGACUCAGGGUAGCCCCAAAACCAGACGCUUACCGCGUGGCACUCAGGACCCCACAAGACCCCAUCAGUGCGAAUGCACAUACAACGAUAAAGGUCUAUUUACCACUACUCCAAUAAGUGACUCAGGGUAGCCCCAAAACCAGACGCUUACCGCGUGGCACUCAGGACCCCACAAGACCCCAUCAGUGCGAAUGCACAUACAACGAUAAAGGUCUAUUUACCACUACUCCAAUAAGUGACUCAGGGUAAAUAAAUAACUACCCUUUUCAUUUUAUUUUGCUAAACACCUUGUACUCUACUACAGGAACCAGGCAGAACAACAUCUAAUGAACACAGGUUCCUUCUACUAAAAAAUAAAUAAAAAGAAAUAAAAAAUAAAAAAAAGAAAAUAAAAAACUCAGGUAGCUACCAUUAAACCUGGUUUCCUUUAAGACCCAGGGAAAUCCUGUGGUAUAGUCCCCGCUCCGCUUCGCCCUUGCUACGCUCGGGCUUGCUCCGCUCCCCUCCCUGCCCCCUAUUCCCACCCGCCCCCACUACCUCUACAUUUAUUUGGUCAUCAAGCCCAUCCCCUUUACCACUACCCAAUCAAAACUGUCCACUCCUCCCCCCUCCAUCUCUCUGCCACUCCCUACCACUAAACCAACUCCGCCCACCUACCUAACUCUCUCCAAUUAUCUCACCCUACUAUUACCUCCAGCUUUCUGCGGACCUAGGCACCUCCCCUAGCCCUAUUUACGCAGAGACCUUACCCAUCACCAUGGACAGAAACUCAUUUACCACC